GUAAAGUUUUAUCCUGGCUUAUUUUCUUAUUUUCGAAUUAAAGGUACAUGUAAGGCUUGGCGAGCCAAAGAUUUAGAGAUGUUAAACACUUCUUUAAGUUACCGAAUGGAGAAAUAUUUAAUAAUGUUAUAAUUCUCAGUAUCUAGUGCUAAUUAUAAAUGUAAGUUAGAAUUGGUGAUUUCGUUAUGAGUGCCCGGCAAAAUUUUGUGCCAGCAGCCGCGGUUAUACUAAGGGGCAAAUUAAGAAAAUGUUGGUUAAAAAUGGUUAAGUGAAGAGUUAUUUUUUUAGUAGGUUUGUGCCGAUAAAGGGUGAAAUCAAUUUUUUGGUGAAUGAGGAAACUAAAAGAUAAGUCAAAACUGAAGCUGUUAAGAUAAAGAUAUGGACCAGGAUUAGAUACCCUGUUACUCUUUAUUUUAAAUAAACAUACCUGGGUAUUAAACAGUUAUUGUCUUGAAACUCAAAGGAUUUGGCGGUAAUCUAGUCUAUUUAGAGGAACCUGUCCUAUAAACGAUAAACCACGUAAAAUCUUACCUUAUAUUGUAGAUCCAGUUUGUAUACCGUCAUUAUUAGGUAACUUUAAUAAAAAUCAGUUACUGCAAUAAGUUUUUCUUAGUAUAUUAGAUCAAGGUGCAGCUGAUAAUAAGGUAGUGAUGGGUUACAAUAUAACGAGUAUAAACGAAUUAAGGAAUUAUAUUUUCUUAUGAAGGAGGAUUUAAUAGUAGAAAGAUUUUAAUAUGAUUUUUCGAUUUUAGCUCUAGGUUAUGUACACAUCGCCCGUCGCUCUCGUUAAUUAAAGCGAGAUAAGUCGUAACAUAGUAGGUGUACUGGAAAGUGUACCUAGAAAUUC
rnacentral:ncRNA from 1 species